AGAUAAGCUCCAAUGAUGCUGCUCUAGGUACUUGGAGAGCUCAAAACUCUGUCAAGAUUUUAUGAAAUAUUUGCUGCGGCAUCGUUCGAGAAACAAUAGGUGCUUCGUAUGCAACACUCCAACUCUUGGCAUGUUCAAGGCUGCAAGCGAUAGAUCUUUCUCCUCAUCCUUCUCAUCGAAGUGUAGAAGGCACCGCUGGAAUCAUAUACAUACAUUGGUGGACUAGAUGCUCAAAUUCAAGAAAUUAAAGAGGCAGUUGAACGUCCACUAACUCAUCCUUGUG